CUUGCUUCUCUUGAGAGCGGCGGACGGGUGAGUAAUGCCUAGGAAUCUGCCUGGUAGUGGGGGAUAACGUCCGGAAACGGACGCUAAUACCGCAUACGUCCUACGGGAGAAAGCAGGGGACCUUCGGGCCUUGCGCUAUCAGAUGAGCCUAGGUCGGAUUAGCUAGUUGGUGGGGUAAUGGCUCACCAAGGCGACGAUCCGUAACUGGUCUGAGAGGAUGAUCAGUCACACUGGAACUGAGACACGGUCCAGACUCCUACGGGAGGCAGCAGUGGGGAAUAUUGGACAAUGGGCGAAAGCCUGAUCCAGCCAUGCCGCGUGUGUGAAGAAGGUCUUCGGAUUGUAAAGCACUUUAAGUUGGGAGGAAGGGCAGUAAAUUAAUACUUUGCUGUUUUGACGUUACCGACAGAAUAAGCACCGGCUAACUCUGUGCCAGCAGCCGCGGUAAUACAGAGGGUGCAAGCGUUAAUCGGAAUUACUGGGCGUAAAGCGCGCGUAGGUGGUUCGUUAAGUUGGAUGUGAAAUCCCCGGGCUCAACCUGGGAACUGCAUUCAAAACUGACGAGCUAGAGUAUGGUAGAGGGUGGUGGAAUUUCCUGUGUAGCGGUGAAAUGCGUAGAUAUAGGAAGGAACACCAGUGGCGAAGGCGACCACCUGGACUGAUACUGACACUGAGGUGCGAAAGCGUGGGGAGCAAACAGAUUAGAUACCCUGGUAGUCCACGCCGUAAACGAUGUCAACUAGCCGUUUGGGAGCCUUGAGCUCUUAGUGGCGCAGCUAACGCAUUAAGUUGACCGCCUGGGGGAGUACGGCCGCAAGGUUAAACUCAAAUGGAUUUGGACGGGGG
rnacentral:rRNA from 1 species